rnacentral:lncRNA from 1 species
GCUAACCACCCGACUCGGCUUCCAGUCAAUCAUCCGCGGAUAGCCCGCGCACUGGCUGCUCAUCAGCCUACCGCUCUCUCUGUCUCAGCCCCCUAGCGGCGAAGUCGUCGCACACGCUAAGCUCGGCUCAAGUCGCAUGACUUGACCAUCUGGUAGCGAUCGCGUUGCACUUACCCAGCGUAAGCUCGAGACAUGACACACCGUCUGGCGGCGAACGGAUCGCACCACACCCAACAACGGUACAUAUCAAACUCAGCCACCUGGAGGCACCCGCAUCGUACUUACCCAGCAUGGAUUCAGUCUGCUCGGCGGUCUGAUCCUCAAAUGGCUCAACCAUCCUGGCGGCGAAAUCGUCGCACAAACGCCACGGCAAUGGUUCAAGCCCCGGGCGGUGAUCUCCAUGUGAUCGCCCCCAAUCCUCCCUCGGUACCAAGCUUGGCGGCGAAGUCGUCGCACAAACGCCCUAGCUU